CUCUUCCCAGGUACAUUGUAUCAGGGUUCUCUCUUCCACCAAUAAAAACUGGGCGCCACCAGAUAACUGAAACAUUGUUGAGUGUGGCGGAAAACAUCAAUCAAUCAAUAUUUGUCUAUUACAUUUAAUUUUAUAUUCUCUGCAAUUCAAUGUGUACAUGUGCAUUGUACAUGUAGUUAUCAUCAUACUGUACAUGUAUUUGUUUCAUGCGGGACAUAUUUACCCUAUCCCAGCAGUUGAAAAAAAAUCCAUAGAAUCUUAUACUUGCGAACUAAAAGUUCAUUGAUAAUCAAUAGCAUGACAAAUUCAUAAGAAAAUGAUACAACGAUUUGUAUUCAUUCAUAUAAGAGGAGGAAAUCAAUGUCCUUGAAGCAAUUUUUCCUGGUUAGUUGAUGGGCAAUAUCUCCCCUGUUGAAAACUGUUAACAAAAUAUGGUAACCUGCAUUCAUGUCUUGCAAUUAUCAAUCCUAAGAUGAUAAAAAUAUAUCAAUCCUAAGAUGAUAAAAAUAUUAAGAUGUGAAAUCUAGUCUGAUAUUCUUUAGAAUUACAUGUGUACUUGUGUGAUUUUCACCGGGAGCAAGCAUGGGAAGGGUGGAUAAAAGCGACUCGCAAUGGCAUAGGAAAGGACGAAAAGGAUGAUAUCUUACAUUUGUUGCGAGGUAUUGCAAGAUUCAAACCAUUGAAGAGUUUGAAAUGCCAGCUACCAGAUUGAAGGAAAGUCACUUGUGGACAUAAAAUGACAGAUUUAGAAAAUGGUUUGAAGGCAGAUGGUUAAACAAACAUAAGGUUGGUCUAGAGGUAGAGCGUUCACCAAACAUGCGGAAGGCCUGGGUUUGUAGACCAAAGUCGUUAAAACAUGUGACAGUUCCAUCGCCAAACGCUCGGCAUCAGGUGUGAAUGUGAAUGUCUCGAGUCCUCGGAGAUGACCUUAAAAACGGAUGUCCCUUAAAACAGUAGAUGUGGCACGCUAAAGAACCCUCACUGCUGUAAGCGCCGAGUAAAGGCCUAAAUUUGAAGCCCUUCACCGGUCUUGGUGACGACUCCAUAUGAGUGAAAUCCUAGGUUGAACAGAAUAAAGGCUGUUUUGGGUGCAAAUAGUGUAAUAUUGAUAAAGAAAAUGAUUUGGAGCUAUAACUGUGAGAGAUCAACAUAGACGAUUAAUGGACGUUUCAUGUUCAAGAGACUGGACCACCAUGGUUCAAUAAGCCAACCACACACGUUGUAAUGGAACGACCUAGGGCACGAGACUGGUGGACAUUACGAGACUUCAAAAGCGUUUAGAUUUUGAUAUUGGAGAAAGACACGGUAUGCUUAACUCAGAGCGGCUACCAAAUUAAUAUGAAGACAUAGAGAGACUUAGUGUCCAUCAAACUUUUCACUAAAAAAAUUCAAUGGCAGCUUUGAUAACUCGGUAUAGAUUUCUAUUCUUUCAGCUACAAAACGUACAAAUUGCGAGCGACGCCAUUUUUGUUGCCAUUCGACACAGAGUGGCAUUCUCUACCCAUAAUUCCGAGCGCUAAGGACCCUACAUCCCUCUGUCAACUACUUUUUCAGAAAUCUUAUUUUAAAAAAUCAUUUGCAAAAUGUAUAGUUUGGACUGAAUAUUCCGUCAUACUAUGAAAUGUGUUUGGUACAAUGUCAUUAAUGUUUACUGUAAAUUGUAGAAUUGCCGUGUUCUAACCAUAUUUGAAAUCAUGAAUCAUUCAUGUAUUAUGGAUCUUCAUGUUAAAAGGGGGGUUGUAGUAAAUUUGAAUCUACAUUUAGUAAUAGUAUGAGAGUGCUGAAAUAUUUAACCAUUGUGUUAAAGAUAAGAAUUCUGUACGAUGAAAAGGUGAAGAUAACGAACAGUGAUCAAUCCCAUAACUCCUAAAAGAAUACGAAAUAGAGUUGGGCUAACACGGACCCCUGGAUAUACCAGAUGUGGGAUCAGGUGCCUAGGAGGAGUAAGCAUCGCCUGUCGACCGGUCACACCCGCCGUGAGUCCUUUAUCUUGAUCAGAUAAACGGAGUAAACCAUAGUCAUAAUCAGUAUGCCAAGAAUGACCUAACAAUUGGUAUGAAACACGUCAGACACCAUUUGACCCAAUGAUAGGAUGUAUAUGUAUUAGCGAACUAGAUCGUUAUAACGACCAUAGAAUUUGCGAAAUACAAUAUGAUUUUGUUCUUAUUUCCAUUUUAAAAAUACAUCAAUGUUGUAUGGAAAAUAUUGUGUAUAUUUUCAGGAUAUCAACCCUUUUUAUUCAAAUAGAUAUUUUAAAAAGAUAUUCAUUACACAAUAGAUUAAAUGAAAUAUCUCAAUUCCAUCGGUAGAGGUUAUAUCGGACUCGCAUAUAGAGGAGGUUGCGUGGACAGGGGGUAUCAACCCUCACUCCCUAAGCUUGGUAGGAAAUAAAUACAUUUGCCCAUUUUCAUGUAAUUCCAAUUGUAAAAUAUUAAAUGUUCGUCCCUAGUUUCGAUUGGACCCCUAGAAAACAUUGCAUGGGGUGGAACCCACUCCCUUGGAGGAGAAUUUCUGGAUCUGUGCAUGCAUAUGUACCUGAGUUCGCCCUAAAGUAGCACCCCAAAAAAUAAUUUCAAAAGAAAAAUUAAAAAUUAUCAUGGUCAAACUUGAUUUUGAAAUGCAGACUAUAACAUUAUUCAUUACUAGUUGAUAUCUUUGGCCAGCCUUUCGAUCACCGGCAGGAUGGUCUGCUUUUUGCAUUAUCGAAGAAGGCAACUCUAAAUUGUUUGAAAUUGCGUGUUACAACAGUACAUCUAUUUGAUGUAAAGAUCAGGAUUACGAGAGCGGAGUGUUUAGAUACUUACAUAAGAUUUUGAUUCUCUCUCCUCCUUUUGAACAUGAAGUAAUAGUGUGUGUGUGUGUGUGUGUGUGUGUGUGCAAAAAGUAGAUGAAAAACACAAUCUUGGUCAUUGAUUACUUGUGUCAAUAAAUGAUCUGUUGAUUGAAACUAAAGUAAGCAGUCUUCCUACUUAUCAUUUCUUACAUCUUAUUGGCCAUAGUUUUACUCAUGUUAGAUUAGCGUUUAAUUUGCAUUUUCCCUAGCCUCAUUAGAAUCAGUGGUGGAUUUAAGGGGGGCGCAGUCGGCGCCCCCCUCCCCUUAAAAUUUUCAAAUUUAAGGUAAAUCGUGGUAUCUUGUUUAGAAAGAUGUACUAAACGAUAAAAGAAGCAAUAAUUUCUUCCAUUCCCGG